rnacentral:misc_RNA from 1 species
GUGACUGCACCGUUGCUUAUGGCUUGGAGCAGUGGAGGAACCUUCACUAUUUACAUGGUUAUGUGUGCUUUCACCGUGGCGUUCGUGGCAAUUUGGGUACCGGAGACGAAAGGGAGAACUCUAGAGGAAAUUCAGUUUUCUUUCAGAUGAAAACUUACCCCCUCCCAAACAGGCCUUUGUGAUCCUUUGUUCUUUUUGUCACAAAACUCAA